rnacentral:ncRNA from 1 species
AAUGAUGCGAAGAAAAGGACAAGAGUUAUUAUGACGGUUUUCAGAGAGGGAAGUAAUGGUGGGAACUUCCUAACGCAGCAUAAUAGCUUACCACCUUGGAGCUGUAUGGAUGAAAAUAAGUAGUCCACACCGUAGUGCUACGAUACAGCAAACCAAAGCCAUUCCUUUAGCAAGGGGAUGGGAACUUGGGUGGAACCACGGGUAAAACACUCGUCCCUUAU